rnacentral:other from 1 species
GAUCCCUUCCUACAACUCAAACCAAUCAAUCAUCUGAAAACCCCCCAGGGAUCUG